rnacentral:lncRNA from 1 species
CUUCUGCCCAUUGGAUAAGAUGGGCCUGUUUCGCACGCAAAGCAAUAAUACCAAGGUGACAAAGGAAAAUGAAAUGUAACCAGUUUUACGAGUUACCUACGUGAAGGUGAAGCUCGUGGUGAUUAUUUCAAGAAUGUUUGUUCAAAGCUUUCGUUGUGAAAGGAGCGCAAGGCAGACCGAUCAAGCUCGGUUUGAGCAGGACCACGUUCAUCAACGAUUCCACCAUCAGACUUUCCAACCACCAUUUAUUAUGGCAUUUCCAGUUCUAUUUCCUCAAUCAUCAACGUUCCUCAUGCCCGUGGUUUUGCGAGCCUGCUACCUGGUAAUGUUUGGUCUUUCAUCAGUGACUGCAGGCACAAAAGAAAACAACACACAUACAAACAAACUGGCUCUGCCAAUUGGGCUUAGCCUAGGAAUCGGCAUUCCUAUUCUCAUCCUGUUGGUGGGUGUGCUUGUUCACCUGUUCUAUAAAAGGUCCCAUUCAUCGAACACCACAAGUUCGACGUUUUCUGGAUCCCAUUCCAAAAAUACGCAGAAAUCUGCAAGUCAGUCUACCUUCGAGCAAUCUAGUACUGAAAAUAUUUCAAAUGAUACAAACUCUCCGAAGUUGAAGGACAGCAUCAUCUUGCCUUCAUAAAAAAAAAACAGAGCGAAACCACAAAGACCUUCACUGCCAGACCUCUUGUCACUUUGCAUAUUGCCAAAUCCAACACCCCCUGGAUCAAAACCGUUAUAGACAAAGACAGCAAUCAAACGAACUUUACAAACAAUCAAAGCACCUGUCCUUCUGCCAAUCAUUUCUAUUUCCCUUCCAAUGAACAAAUUGUGAACAUUUCUGCCACCCAUUCCCAGCCUUUCUUUUUUUGCUUUUAUUGGCCUCAGAACUCAGAUUAAACACAAGCCCUGAAUCAUUGUUUUGAUGCAUUUUUAACUACAGGGUGCCCCACAGAAAACCAGGAAAUUUGAGAUUUUGAGAUUUAUUUUGCCGUAUUUUAGCAUAUAAAUAAACUAACAUAUUAAUAAAGUGUAUCUUUGUUUUACACUACAUCUAAGUUUACUUUUGCUUUGUUUUAAAUAAACUGUACCAAAUUUCCUGGUUUUCUGUGGGGCACCCUGUAGUACUGUAUUUUGAUUUUAUUAGUGUAAAAAGUACAAUUCUAGGAAAUUUCCCAAAAUGAGAUGGAAUUUUAAAUGUUUCAUAAAGCCAAAGCAACGAUCAAUUUAUAUUCAAAAUAUAAUACCUUUGUAUAGUGUAUUAUACAGCAUUGUGGUAAAGAUCAUUUGGUGUUACAAACCUUGCAGUUGGGCUCCCAAGUUCUUGUUUGUAAUUUGUGUCCAUCUCUGAACUCUUCAUCUCCCCUGAUGGAGAUGAGGGGGUUCAUGUAACACAUGUAUUGAGAUUUGUAAUGCAAGCUCUAAAAACAUUCGAUUGUCAUAAAAACUCGAUAAAGCUGGUGGUGUUAGUGGAGGACAAUAUUGUCGACAGAGCAUCAGGACACGAGGAGGUCUUGAAUGUUUCCAAACAACCAAUCCUGGACAGGUAACCAAUUUGUGGCAGGAUGGAGCCAUUUCCAUUGAGUUUAUCAUGGAAAACAAACCCCCAACAGUGAAGGCAAAUGCAUCAAUGCUUUACACACUCCACCAUAAAGCCAUUCAGCUAACAAGGGGAAAAAAUGCAUUCUCCGCUCCUGUUCUGAACACACUUUCAGAGUAUUCUUGAGAUGAAAAUAUUAUUGAUAUACCUGUAUCUGUGGAUUCAAUGCAAUCUGAUUUGUCUUCUAACAUUAUAAAUAAAAACUUGUAUUAUACGAGUUGUGUGUAUCUGCUAUUUCAUUAUUCAUUUAAAGUCCUCACCCUCAAUCAUUCAAAAGAAAGAGGUAAUAAAUUGUGAGCAAUGACGAUUGUGAUAAAAUUAUGAUAUUGUUAUAGUCAUGACUCGAGGUAAAUUUAUUCCUAUCGACUCCAAGGCACAUAAUGUAAUAAUAAAACCCUCAAGGCAAUGACUAUAAUUAUAGAAUUGAUUGACUUUGUAUCAAAGAAGGCCAUUCACAUGAAACUUGUGAACUACCUGAUAAAUUUGUUUGGAGUUCAGACAGCAACCAAACUCGAAGAUAGCAAGCAUUUUAACCUGGGAUCAAGGAACCUCCAGGAAGACCAAACCACUUGCUAUCCGCAGUCCAGGCAGGAAUUUGUAUUUUGUUCAGGGUGCCGGUGAUAACUCGUCAACUCUUCGUGAAGGUCACUGUGGAAUCUUUA